rnacentral:misc_RNA from 1 species
AAGAUGUCUGCGCCCAUGUGUUCUCAACGUUUCCAAAGAAUUUAGAUUUCAGACACUAUAACAAAGACGGCACUAUGGAUCAGUUUAACAGAAAAAGACCACAUGGCGGGAUGACAAAAAACCAAGCAAAGAAACAGAAAUUUAAUGAAAACAUACUGUCUGAAGCCCCACAAGCUAUAGAUGUUAUUGAGUAUGCCAGGAGUCGAGCAGCAGAACUACAGCUUCUGGAUGAAGCUACGAAAAAAAGAAAGGUGUCACAAGCAGUGAAUGGACUGAUGUCCAUUUCUAUGAGACGGAGAGCAAUGAGUCACAAUGUGAAAAGAAUGCCGCGUAGAGUGAGAGAGAUGGUGACAAUAAAAGCCAACAAACACAAAAAACCAAGUAGAAAGCAUCGCAGACGUCCAAAGAAUUUACUGCAGGAGUAUAUACGAAGACAAAAGAACAAAGUCUGGCUAGAAACCCACAUCUGGCAUGCAAAAAGGUUUAAAAUGGCUGACAAAUGGGGUUACAAGAUUCCCUAUCAACCAACAAACAAAAGUGCUCGAGCCUCCUACCGAGCUACUCAACAUCAUUGUCAGAUGAUAGAUGUAUCUUAUCUGUGCUGCAUAGAAAUUCUUGGGAAGGAGGAAAACAUUCUGAAUGGAGUCUCUUCUCUUUGUAACUCUCAAACUGGACCAACCGUAGCUGCAAAAAUGUAUUUGGAAGGAACACGAGAGGGUAAUUGUGUUUUGUACAAGCAAAAUCAAUAUCCUCAAGGGCCUAUAUGUCCUGCUACAUUUCUCUGGAGACCGAAAUCGGAGCGGGAACCACUGCGACAGUUAUGGAUUUGGUGUCAUCCAUCUUCGUUUGAAGAACUGUGGAAAGAGUUGGAGGCAUGUAUGUCAGUGUCUGAAAAAUGUGAGGUGCAAGAUAUAUCUGUAGAACUAAGCUGUUCCAUUGAAGAUAUGAGAAAAGGACGGACACUGGCAGAUAUUGCAAACAGUUCUGUGUUGAAUAAUAAUUCUAAGGAGGACAAGAUGUCAACUAUUUCAGAGGAAGGACCCAAACAAGAAGAUAGAAGUAAGGUACCUAAAGAAACUCAGGAUAAAACAAAGAAACAGAAAAGUAAAAAACAUUCUUCUACCGAAAAGGCAAGCGAGGAAAAAUUUGUAAAAGUCAUCAACAGAAAAUCCCAGAUUGGAAAAGUUUUCAUGACCUCUCUGAAGGACAGACUUGUAAGACAUCGUUUCAUUGGUCCAGAGUCUCAGAGAAUCCUGGCACAGACUCUCGGUAUAGCAGAUAUCAUGUUCAAUAACAAGGAAACUUCUUAUUGGUGGAAAGAGUACUAUGAAGACAAAAAGCACUCCUUGGAUUUCAACCAGCAGAGGGAAUUCUGGGAUGGGGUUGCUCAGUGUCAGUCUGCUGCAGAGUUGUCUCCCCAUGCUGUGAUUGGGCUGACAGUGAGAGAUCCAAGAGUCAUUAGAGCCAUGAAACGAAACGAGAAUUCAGACAUGGCAUCAGGUAAGAGAUCUCUGGAUAGUUCCUAGAUGGAAUUUAGAGAUGCAUGUGUUUAUGGGUUAUUAAAUAUCUAUAGUGAUAAAUACCUUAAAUGCUGAUGUAUUCAUGUGUUUACUAUUAAAAGAAGUAAUAUUGAUACAUUUAUAUGCUCAAAACUGCUUUACAUAUACAUUGCAUGUAUCUACAUACCAAUUUAUGUUUAUAAAUUGAAUUGCUUACAUGUACAAUGGGAAAAAUGCCUGCAAAUGAACCUAUCUGAAUAAUAAAAGGAAAAUUUAAAGAAAAAUGUGGUUUGAAUAUUUACAUGCAGAAUCCAUGGUUGUUGAGGGUAUAGAAGCUGUCAAAUUGAUGGUCAGCCAAGAGGUUUCCAAUUCACCAAUCUGGGAGGAAGAGAUCAGAAAGACAGUAACAUCGACCAAAAAAUCGGACUUUGAAAUCAAUCAGCUAAAAUCGGAGCACCUUGUCCCAGGGUCAGAGUUGAUGCUGGGUGAAGAAGAGAGCAGGAUCCCUGUGCUAGUCAUCCAGAAUCCUGGUACUAAUCCCUCAGCACACAGCCACAGUCACUAUGGGAAUGGAUGGGAUCUCAUCCUGCCUGCAGGAUGGAGCAUGGCAUUCUGGGUAGCCAGUAUUUAUCAUGGGGCCAGAGCAGGAGGUCUCCGUGAAUUACAAUGUCUGGCCAACGAACAGCAGAUUGAACACUUCCCCGAGGAUUAUCCAGAUACUUCAGCAGGAAGAGAAGAGGAGGCGAGGGUGAAGAGCGAGAAAGAGGCAGAGCACAGCAAACGACCUCCUGCUAAAAGACCAAAUUUUACUAAGUUAGACGUGGCCAAUCCAUUUUCUUGGGCAUGGGAUCAGCUAGUUCAUUGUGAUAAAGAGGAUACCAGUGGAUUCCAUGUGUUGAGAGACAGGAAAGAUCUAAAUACUCUGCGGAAAGUGGUGAAUAUUUCACGCGGACAGAAAAAGAAAUGUUUGAAAAGUAGCGAAAGUGUAGAACGUUUUGCUCCUUACCAAGACAUACUGAGUAGACAUCAAAAGUCUUUAGUGUUUGUCAAAAUAUCAGUGAAUUCCAAAGGAUGCCCAGAAGAGAUGGGAACAAUCUCAAUACCGUCUAAAGAAGAUGUCAGAAAAAUGAAAGCAGAUAAAUACUUUGUAGGACCAUUGAGAUCCCAACAGCCUGAUCCUGAGCUGGAAGACAAGAAAGAGAAGAAGAAAAAAGCAAAACUUCUGAAGAAAGGUGUAUUGAAUCUCCAACCACAAAAGACACCAGAGAAUAGAGAAGUGGCAAAAGACAAUGUUGAUGAUGGUGAGCGUGAAAUCAUUGGAUAUGUAAAACAUGGUGGAUUCUCGCUUAAUAAUGGACAUGGAGCUGGAAAGGGAUUCUGUUCUUUAGCUGGUUUAGAAAAGCUGUCUGAAUCCUUGCCUGAUGAAAGAAAUCUUGUUUUAAUUCGGAAUCCCAGAACACUGCAGUAUAGAUUUGCCAGACUUUCACUAUGAACUAAGAACACUGCAGUAUAGAUUUGCCAGGCUUUCACUAUGAACUAAGAACACUGCAGAUAGAUUGCCAGGCUUGAGAAAUGAUGAAAUCUAUCUCUACCACAGAUGUGUUCUGAAUUAAAUUGUUUGUUUAUUAUCAACUUAAUAAAGGUGAUUCUGAAUAAAUUUGAACAAUUAGU